UAUUAGUCAAUGCUCGCAAGAGUGAACGAGCUAACUGAAAGAAUAUACAAUCUAAAGUUAGGAAACUUAUAAUUUUAUUAUAAGUUUAAAGACUAAUCUAACUAACAGUGUCGUCCAAAUGCUGGUGCCAGAAGACUCGGUAAUACCAGAGACGCGAACGUUAAUCAUCUUGAAUGGGCAUAAAGGGUUUGUAGGCGGCUUAUUUAUUAAUAGGCUAGAAUCUUAUAGAGGUUAAUAAAAUACUUAGAGGAGGGCUGAUAUCCUUAGAUCCUAAGUGGAAUCCUAAUUGCGAAGGCCAUUUUCCACUACAGAUUGACGCUGAGACACGAAGGUUAGGAUAGGAACUAGGAUUAGAGACCCUAUUACCCCUAACUGUAAACGAUGAAUGGAAGAUAUUUACAACUGUAAGUGUCGAAGUGAAUACGAUAACCAUUCCGCCUUGCCAGUAUACUUGCAAAAGUGAAAACAAAAAAAUUAGUCGGUCCUAAAGCAAACGAAGUGAAGCAUGUUAUUUA
rnacentral:rRNA from 1 species